UUUAAUAAAUUUAGAAAAAAAUAAAAAAUAUAAAUGUAAAUGGUUUCUUUGUCUCCCUCGCUUCCUCAUUGAACCCUAGCCGUAUUCGUCUUCCUCUUCCUGGAGCGCCUCCAUCAUUCCAGCCAUUUUCUACUCAGUACCCACUUCAUCUACUCCGCCCCUUUCGUGUACGACAACAAUCUCAUCACCAUCCCUUUCAUUUUCUGGAUUUGAUCCCUUUCUUGUUCUUGCCUCCAUCAUUGAGUGGAUGCCUCACAAUCACAAUAAACUCAUAUCUUCUCUCCGUCUUCACCGGAACUAAAAUCGAUAUCAUUAAAGCUUGAUUCGUCACUGUUCAAGAACAAAAAUUGAUAUCACUUAAGCUUGAUUCACCAAUUUUCAAGGUAUUCUCCUUUCAUUUUUCUUUUUAACUAACCCUUAAAAUCUCUUAAUUUCGUUUUUAUGACUCAACUUGUAUCCAUGAACUUGUAGUUCAACUUGGAGAGGAAGUAAUUGCUCUGUCUUGCAUUCUCUCGAGGUUUCUUGAAUUUUCUUGUCAGCAGUACUUAUUUUAUUUCCUAGAUAGACAAAAGACUCAAUUGUUACAGAAAUGGGUUUAGGACAGACGGACUAUUGACUAUUGUAUUAUCGAGUGUUGGUUAACUAAUUUUUAAUUUGAAAUUUUACUGAGUUAUUAGUUGAUAACUGGAUUUGGGACUUUUAUCCUAUUUUAAAGGUUACUCAUGCUUAAGUUUGCGAUAUGAUUAUUGUUUAUAAUUGGGGUAAAUGUUCUUUGACAUGUUUGUUUUGUGGUAUUCCCAGUUUUGUUCAGGAUGGAGAAAAGACUUGUCCUCUAUGUGAAUGGAUUUGAGAGAUAAGAAAUUGAAAUCUUGUAGAUGUGGUUAUGAGUUUUGAUUCUAUCUGUGUGGAGUUAUGAGGUUUGUGAUUUUAAAUUUCAUUUGUCAAUUAUUUGGUUCACAAAAUUUUCUUCUAUUGAAUUCGGAUCCUCUUAACCCUUGUUAAGGUUUAUUUUGUGCAGGGAGAAUUUAUUUUCUCUUAACUUUAAAUAAGGUAGAAAUGGUGGUUAAAAUUAAGUUUUAAUUCUUCAUCAUUUGAACACCUUAAGAAUUGUUUAAUUUUAAAAUUUGCUUAUUUCCUUUUAAGUAGUAAGUGCGUAUUGUUGGAUCUUAGUACUGCUCCUUGCAACCGUCUACUAAUGACGGGCAGCAGAGCCAUGUAAGAAAAUUUAAAAGAAUCUUUAUCUAGGUGAGGAAUAGGUUCAUUUCAAAUGGCCAUGUCUUGAAUUUCCUUGCUCCCUGCACAUAACUCAGUGGCUAUAAUUGUAUCAUCUCAAAUAGUAAUUUUUGGUUGCAACCAAACUGAAUAGAGAUUUGAUCAUAUUUAAUUAAUGAUUUUGGUUGAAUUCUCACAUGAUAAAUUUUGAACUUUAAUUCCGGCAUUGAGGUGGUACAUGGAGAAAUUACUCAUUCUGUUAUGUUGUCAAUGUGACAUUUGAAUCAACUGUGAAUGGUGCAUCUAUCAGUAACCAUACAAAUACUAGUGGCUUAUCAAUGAUUUCCAAAUAUUACAACACACAUAACUAAUAAUAAAAUGGAAGCAAAAGAUAAUUUAUAAUUGUGUUAUUUAUUGAAAUAAAUUUGAUAGUUUCCAAUUUCAAUAUAAUUGUUUUUGUAGUUACAGGUUAUGAAUAAAGACUUCGAAUUACUGAAGGCAUCUGUACUUAGUUUAAAAAACCGGAGAUGAACAAGGCUCUCACUAUCAGAACCAAGAACUUCAUGACAAACAAGCUCCUCAAGAAAUUUUUUUUGGGCUAUAUUGUAGUCUUGUAGCUUUCUAGUUGUCUUUUGUAAAAGUUUUAUAUGUAGAAAUUAGCUUAUCAUUUUAUAGGGUAAAAAGAAUUAAUGUUUUAUUUAAUACUAGAGAUUCUAUUACAUUUAUAUUAUUAAUUAAUGUUUUAGAAUGAUAUAUUUGUACAUAAUAAAAAGUAAAUUGCACUUCA